AGAUUGAACGCUGGCGGCAGGCCUAACACAUGCAAAUCGAGCGGUAGAGAGGUGCUUGCAUCUCUUGAGAGCGGCGGACGGGUGAGUAAUGCCUAGGAAUCUGCCUAGUGGUGGGGGAUAACGUUCGGAAACGGACGCUAAUACCGCAUACGUCCUACGGGAGAAAGCGGGGGACCUUCGGGCCUCGCGCCAUUAGAUGAGCCUAGGUCGGAUUAGUUAGUUGGUGAGGUAAUGGCUCACCAAGGCGACGAUCCGUAACUGGUCUGAGAGGAUGAUCAGUCACACUGGAACUGAGACACGGUCCAGACUCCGUACGGGAGCAGCAGUGGGGAAUAGUUGGACAAUGGGACGAAAGCCUGACUCCAGCCAUCGCCGCGUGGUGUAGGAAGAAGGUUCGUUCGGUAUUGACG
rnacentral:rRNA from 1 species